UACGUAGGGGGCUAGCGUUGCCCGGAAUCAUUGGGCGUAAAGCGCGUGUAGGCGGUCCGGUAAGUCCGCUGUGAAAGUCGGGGGCUCAACCCUCGAAUGCCGGUGGAUACUGUCGGGCUAGAGUGCGGAAGAGGCGAGUGGAAUUCCUGGUGUAGCGGUGAAAUGCGCAGAUAUCAGGAGGAACACCAAUUGCGAAGGCAGCUCGCUGGGACGUCACUGACGCUGAGACGCGAAAGCGUGGGGAGCAAACAGG
rnacentral:rRNA from 1 species